UUCCUUGUGUGACUUCUUCAGCUUUUUGGAAUUUGUUAGGAACACAUCAUCCAAACAGUAUGAAGCAGUUUUAACAUCUUCAUAAGCAAUUAUCAUCUCUGGAAAAGCUGGCUACGUGGUACUCACUGUCUUCAUCUAAAUAAGGAUCCUGAGAGAAAUCUGGUGUGUCCCAAGAAGACUUAUCUGCCUUGCUGCUUCUCCUGCUUCAGCCAAGUCUGUGGUAUCUCUCUAUUCUCCUCUCCUUGACAGGCAGCAUGGAAGACCCUACAGAGGAGGUUGAACUUAAAUGUUCGGAAAUGGACAGAAGUGACGGUAGCAUAUUAUUGU